AAAGCAGGAAGGAAAGUAACUGUCAUCGCUCCUGUCUUCUUCCAGUCCUGUGGUUAUUUGCUACUCUAUGCUCUGGAGGAGUUAGAGAACAGAACAAAUAUUGGAAGACCAAUGAGAAGAGACUUCCACAAUAGAAGUGCCACAUGCUGGGAAGGAAAUCAGUGACCAGAGCAUUUCUUCCAGACCACUGCACAUAGCUAGGAAAGUCACCAGCUGGGGAAUGAAACAACGUGGAGGUUCAAACUAGCUUCAUCUAUGGGACCCUGGGGAUAAAGUGACCACUGAUAUAUAAGAAAACAAUGUAUAUUCUCUUUAUGAAAGACUAUUCACCUCCAA